rnacentral:rRNA from 1 species
GAUGAACGCUGGCGGCGUGCCUAAUACAUGCAAGUCGAGCGAACAGACGAGGAGCUUGCUCCUUCGACGUUAGCGGCGGACGGGUGAGUAACACGUAGGUACCCUACCUAUCAGACUGGGAUCACUUCGGGACACCGGAGCUAAUACCGGAUAAUAUUUCGAACCGCAUGGUUCGAUAGUGAAAUAUGGCUUUGGUAUCACUUAUAGCUGGACCUGCGCCGUAUUAGCUGGUUGGUAAGGUAACGGCUUACCAAGGCAACGAUACGUAGCCGACCUGAGAGGGGGAUCGGCGACCCUGGAACUGAGACACGGACCAGACUCCUACGGGAGGCAGCAGUAGGGAAUCGUCCGCAAUGGGCGAAAGCCUGACGGAGCAACGCCGCGUGAGUGAUGAAGGUCUUCGGAUCGUAAAACUCUGUUAUUAGGGAAGAACAAACGUGUAAGUAACUGUGCACGUCUUGACGGUACCUAAUCAGAAAGCCACGGCUAACUACGUG